UCUUAUGUACAUGUCUACAAUGUUAAUUUACUGGAUCUCAUAAAAAAUCCACAGUUAAGCUUGCUUGGGAUAUAGUGGUACUGGGAUUGGUGACCUCUUGAGAAGUCCUGGUGUUUUACAUGCC
rnacentral:rRNA from 1 species